GGAUAACCUACCCUUAGGACUGGGAUAACCCUGGGAAACUGGGGAUAAUACCGGAUAGGCAACUCUUCCUGGAAUGGUUUUUUGUUUAAAUGUUUUUUCGCCUAAGGAUGGGUCUGCGGCCGAUUAGGUAGUUGGUUAGGUAACGGCUUACCAAGCCAUUGAUCGGUACGGGUUGUGAGAGCAAGAGCCCGGAGAUGGAACCUGAGACAAGGUUCCAGGCCCUACGGGGUGCAGCAGGCGCGAAGCCUCCGCAAUGUGAGAAAUCGCGACGGGGGGAUCCCAAGUGCCAUUCUUAACGGGAUGGCUUUUCAUUAGUGUAAAAAGCUUUUGGAAUAAGAGCUGGGCAAGACCGGUGCCAGCCGCCGCGGUAACACCGGCAGCUCUAGUGGUAGCAACUUUUAUUGGGCCUAAAGCGUCCGUAGCCGGUUUAAUAAGUCUCUGGUGAAAUCCUGUAGCUUAACUGUGGGAAUUGCUGGAGAUACUAUUAGACUUGAGACCGGGAGAGGUUGGAGGUACUCCCAGGGUAGAGGUGAAAUUCUGUAAUCCUGGGAGGACCGCCUGUUGCGAAGGCGUCUAACUGGAACGGUUCUGACGGUGAGGGACGAAAGUUAGGGGCGCGAACCGGAUUAGAUACCCGGGUAGUCCUAACUGUAAACGAUGCGGACUUGGUGUUGGGGUGGCUUUGAGCUGUCCCAGUGCCGAAGGGAAGCUGUUAAGUCCGCCGCCUGGGAAG
rnacentral:rRNA from 1 species